AUUAACCGAGGGGAGGCCUUUGAUCUUUGCGCGGUAGCGGAGGAAUAAGAAGCUGUGGGCACUUGGUACUUGGGUUGAAUCGCAGAGGUUUGACGUGCUUUUCGUCUGUAAUCUGCCGCGAGCUUCAAAUUGCAAUUGUUGUUGUCGUUUGUAAGCACUGUCUGGCGUCGGCUAAGUUUCAUAUAUCGACAUGGAGGUUGACAAAAACAAAAUAUGCAUCACAUGUACCUUUGAGAUUAUUACGGUUUCUUUUCUAAGGUCUCUCCCUCUCCCUCUUGUUGUCAAGCUCGUCCUCAACCACGGGAACUCUUUUGUUUCUCUGAAGCCCCAAUGAGACUUUGCUUUCUGUUAUUCUCCUUUGUGAGAAACUAUGAGCAAUAAUAUUCCUGCUUUUCUUUCAAAAAAAAGUAAGGGUUUAUUUAGGGGCAUUUUCGAUUUAAGAAGAAAGGGAAGGAAGGAAAGAAGUGGAACCAGCAAUAGUGGUCGUGGCUGGAGGAGAAGAAAACAAAGUAAGGGGUGAAAGAGAAAGAGGAAGGCUUGGUUUAAAGGGGAAACUAGAUUUUAGAAGAAGUAAGGAGAAAUAAAGGUCGGAAAGGAAGAGGAAGGAGAAAAGGGGCCAUUGACGCCAAAUUCAAUAGUGACAGCCAAAAAACCAAAAGAGUC
rnacentral:sRNA from 10 species